CAAAAAACAAACAACAACAACCAACCAACCAACACAAAGCAAAAUUAAAACCCUAGGUUAUAAAAAAGACUUCAAAACGCAUUCAAAAUAUAUAUAUAUUUAACUAAAAACAAAAAUAAAUCGUAGGAUUAAAGUUCAACAUAGUAAAUGAGAGGAGGAUACACUCAGCAUAACGGUGAAUAGUAAAUGAAACAGCAAUAAUAACAGCAACCGAAAACAACAAACAAACAAAAUAUAUACAAAUCGUGCAACCGAAAAGUAAUAGCAACGUACAGCGAAACUAAAUAGGAAGGAAGGAAGGAAG